rnacentral:rRNA from 1 species
AACGAACGCUGGCGGCAAGCCUAACACAUGCAAGUCGAACGGUCAAUUAUUUAUAGCCUCUGGCUAUAGGAAAUUGUUAGUGGCAGACGGGUGAGUAAUGCGUAGGAAUCUACCUAGUAGUACGGAAUAGCCAUUAGAAAUGGUGGGUAAUACUGUAUAAUCCCCGAGGGGGAAAGAUUUAUCGCUAUUAGAUGAGCCUACGUUAGAUUAGCUAGUUGGUGAGGUAAUGGCUUACCAAGGCUAUGAUCUAUAGCUGGUCUGAGAGGACGAUCAGCCACACAGGAACUCACAAACGGUCCAGUCUCCUACGGGAGGCAGCAGUGGGGAAUAUUGGACAAUGGGCGAAAGCCUGAUCCAGCUAUCCCGCGUGAGUGAAGAAGGCC